GAUGAACGCUGGCGGCGUGCCUAAUACAUGCAAGUCGAGCGAACACAUCCGGUGCUUGCUCCUGUCACUUUAGCGGCGGACGGGUGAGUAACACGUGGGUAACCUGCCUAUAAGACUGGGAUAACAUCCGGAAACGGGAGCUAAUACCGCAUAAUAUUUCGAGCCGCAUGGUUCAAUAGUGAAAGGCGGUUUUGGUUUCACUUGUAGAUUGAACCGCCGCGCAUUAGCUAGUUGGUAAGGUAACGGCUUACCAAGGCAGUGAUGCGUAGCCGACCUGAGAGGGUGAUCGGCCACACUGGAACUGAGACACGGUCCAGACUCCUACGGGAGGCAGCAGUAGGGAAUCUUCCGCAAUGGGCGAAAGUCUGACGGAGCAACGCCGCGUGAGUGAUGAAGGUCUUCGGAUCGUAAAACUCUGUUAUUAGGGAAGAACAAAUGCGUAAGUAACUAUGAACGCCUUGACGGUACCUAAUCAGAAAGCCACGGCUAACUACGUG
rnacentral:rRNA from 1 species